rnacentral:rRNA from 1 species
UACGUAGGGUGCAAGCGUUGUCCGGAAUUAUUGGGCGUAAAGAGCUCGUAGGCGGUUUGUCGCGUCGAAUGUGAAAACCCGGGGCUCAACCCCGGGCCUGCAUUCGAUACGGGCAGACUAGAGUUCGGUAGGGGAGUCUGGAAUUCCUGGUGUAGCGGUGAAAUGCGCAGAUAUCAGGAGGAACACCGGUGGCGAAGGCGGGACUCUGGGCAGUAGCUGACGCUGAGGCGCGACAGCGUGGGGAGCAAACAGG